GAUGAACGCUGGCAGCGUGCCUAAUACAUGCAAGUCGAGCGAACGGACGAGAAGCUUGCUUCUCUGAUGUUAGCGGCGGACGGGUGAGUAACACGUGGAUAACCUACCUAUAAGACUGGGAUAACUUCGGGAAACCGGAGCUAAUACCGGAUAAUAUUUUGAACCGCAUGGUUCAAAAGUGAAAGACGGUCUUGCUGUCACUUAUAGAUGGAUCCGCGCUGCAUUAGCUAGUUGGUAAGGUAACGGCUUACCAAGGCAACGAUGCAUAGCCGACCUGAGAGGGUGAUCGGCCACACUGGAACUGAGACACGGUCCAGACUCCUACGGGAGGCAGCAGUAGGGAAUCUUCCGCAAUGGGCGAAAGCCUGACGGAGCAACGCCGCGUGAGUGAUGAAGGUCUUCGGAUCGUAAAACUCUGUUAUUAGGGAAGAACAUAUGUGUAAGUAACUGUGCACAUCUUGACGGUACCUAAUCAGAAAGCCACGGCUAACUACGUGCCAGCAGCCGCGGUAAUACGUAGGUGGCAAGCGUUAUCCGGAAUUAUUGGGCGUAAAGCGCGCGUAGGCGGUUUUUUAAGUCUGAUGUGAAAGCCCACGGCUCAACCGUGGAGGGUCAUUGGAAACUGGAAAACUUGAGUGCAGAAGAGGAAAGUGGAAUUCCAUGUGUAGCGGUGAAAUGCGCAGAGAUAUGGAGGAACACCAGUGGCGAAGGCGACUUUCUGGUCUGUAACUGACGCUGAUGUGCGAAAGCGUGGGGAUCAAACAGGAUUAGAUACCCUGGUAGUCCACGCCGUAAACGAUGAGUGCUAAGUGUUAGGGGGUUUCCGCCCCUUAGUGCUGCAGCUAACGCAUUAAGCACUCCGCCUGGGGAGUACGACCGCAAGGUUGAAACUCAAAGGAAUUGACGGGGACCCGCACAAGCGGUGGAGCAUGUGGUUUAAUUCGAAGCAACGCGAAGAACCUUACCAAAUCUUGACAUCCUUUGACAACUCUAGAGAUAGAGCCUUCCCCUUCGGGGGACAAAGUGACAGGUGGUGCAUGGUUGUCGUCAGCUCGUGUCGUGAGAUGUUGGGUUAAGUCCCGCAACGAGCGCAACCCUUAAGCUUAGUUGCCAUCAUUAAGUUGGGCACUCUAAGUUGACUGCCGGUGACAAACCGGAGGAAGGUGGGGAUGACGUCAAAUCAUCAUGCCCCUUAUGAUUUGGGCUACACACGUGCUACAAUGGACAAUACAAAGGGCAGCGAAACCGCGAGGUCAAGCAAAUCCCAUAAAGUUGUUCUCAGUUCGGAUUGUAGUCUGCAACUCGACUACAUGAAGCUGGAAUCGCUAGUAAUCGUAGAUCAGCAUGCUACGGUGAAUACGUUCCCGGGUCU
rnacentral:rRNA from 1 species